rnacentral:rRNA from 1 species
CGCGACCCAGGUCAGGCGGGAACAACCCGCUGAGUUAAGCAUAUCAUUAAGGCGGGAAAGAAACUUACCAGGAUUCCCCUAGUAACGGCGAGCGAACCGGGAAGAGCCCAGCUUGGAUCGGGCGCCCUCAUGCGUCCGAAUUGUAGUCUGGGAAGCGUCCUCAUCGGGCGACCGGCCCAAGUCCCCUGGAAGGGGGCGCCGGAAGAAGGGUGAGAGCCCCGGUCGUGCCCGGACCCUGUCGGCAACCACCGAGGCGGGCUGUCUCGGUCGGGUUGUUUGGGAAAUGCAGCCCCGAAUCGGGCGGUAAAUUCCGUCCAAGGGCUAAAUGACGUGCGAGAGACCGAUAGGCGAACGAAAGCGGCCACAAGUACGCGAGGGAAGAGAAAAGGAUUUGAAAAGAGAGUCAAGAGUGCUUGAAUUGUCGGGAGGGAAGCGGAUUGGGGGGCCGGCGAUGCGCCCCGGUCGGAUGUGAACGGCGACAAGCCGUCCGCCGAUCGCUCGGGGCGCGGACCGACGCGGAUCGCGGUCGGCGGCCAAGCCCGGGCACUAGAAACGCCCUGCGAGAACGCCGUCGCAGCGAUCGUGGACAUCAGGCGUCGCCGUCCGGCGUGCCCGCGGCACCCGCGCGCUCCUGGCGUCGCCAGAGCGGGCUCCCCAUUCGGCCGCGUCUUGAAACACGGACCAAGGGUCCUGACAUGUGUGCGAGUCAACGGGCGGUAAACCCGUAAGGCGGCAAGGAAGCUGACUGGCGGGAUCCCCCGAGGGUUGCACCGCCUGCCGAGCCUCGAUCUUCUGAGAAGGGUUCGAGUGAGAGCAUGCCUGUUCGGGACCCGAAAGAUGGUGAAACUAUGCCUGAGCGGGGCGAAGCCAAGGAAACUCUGGUGGAGCCCGCAGGCGAUACUGACGUGGGCAAAUCGUUCGUCUGAACUUGGGUCUAAGGGGCGAAAAACUAAUCGAACCGUCUAGUAAGCUGGUUCCCUCGAAGUUUCCCUCAGGAUAGCUGGAGCUCGGACGAGUUCUAUCGGGUAAAGCCAAGAUUAGAGGCAUCGGGGGCGGCAACGCCCUCGACCUAUCCAAACUUUUAAAAUAGUAGGACGGCGCGGCGCUUCGCUGAGCCGGCGCCACGGAAUCUGGGAGAGCUCCAAGUGGGCCAUUUUUGGUAAGGCAGAACUGGCGAUGGCGGGAAAAUGAACCGGAAGCGGGUUACGGUGCCCAACUGCGCGCUAACCAGAACCACAAAGGGUGUUGGUCGAUUAAGACAAGCAGGAACGGUGGUCUGGAAGUCGAAAUCCGCUAAGGAGUGUGUAACAACUCACCUGCCGAAUCAACUAGCCCCGAAAAUGGAUGGCGCUUAAGGGCGGGCGACCUAUACACCGGCCGUCGGGCAAGAGGCCAGGCCCGAUGAGUAGGAGGGCGGCGGCGGCCGCUGCAAAAACCCGGGGCGGCAGAGCCGGGCGGAGCGGCCGCCGGUGCAGAUCUUGGUGUAGUAGCAAAUAUUCAAAUGAGAACUUUGAAGGCCGAAGAGGGAAAGGUUCAUGUGAACGGCACUUGCACAUGGGUUAGUCGAUCCUAAAGAGACGGGGGAAAGCCGUCCGACAAGCGCGUCCGCGCGCGAGCUUCGAAAGGGAAUCGGGUUAAAAUCCCGAACCGGGACGCGGUCGGCUGACGGUGCAACAGUAGGGAGUCGGAGACGUCGGCGGGCCUCGGAAGAGUUAUCUUUUCUGUUUAACGGCCCGCCCACCCUGAAACGAAUCAAGUCGGAGUAGGGUCCAGCGGCCGGAAGAAGCACCGGCACGUCGCGCGUGUCCGGUGCGCCCCCGGCUGGCCCGUGAAAAAUCCGGAGGACCGAGUGCCUUGCAACCGCGCCCGGUCGUACUCAUAACCGCAUCAGGUCUCCAAGGUGAACAGCUCUGGCCAAUGGAACAAAAUGUAGCAAGGGAAGUCGGCAACGGAAUACCGUAACCUCGGAAAGGAUUGGCUCGAGGGCUGGGCCCGGGGGUCCGCAGUCCGACCCGUCGGCUGUCGGCGGACUGCUCGAGCUGCUCCGCGGCGAGAGCGGGUCGCCGCGGUGCCGGCCGGGGGAACGGACUGGGAACGGCCCCUCCGGGGGCCUUCCCGGGCGUCGAACAGUCGACAUCAGAACUGGUAGCGGACAAGGGGAAUCCGACUGUUAAUUAAAACAAAGCAUUGCGAUGGUCCUGCGGAUGCUCACGCAUGUGAUUUCUGCCCAGUGCCUGAAUGUCAAAGUGAAGAAAUUCACCAACGCGCGGGUAAACGGCGGGAGUAACUAUGACUCUUUAAGGUAGCAAAUGCCUCUGUCAUCUAAUUAAGUGACGCGCAUGAAUGGAUUAACGGAUUCCCACUGCCUGUCUACUAUCCAGCGAAACCAACAGGCCCAAGGGAACGGGCUUGGCGGAAUCAGGCGGGGAUAAGAAGACCUGUUGAGCUUGACUCUAGUCCGAACUUUGUGAAAUGACUUGAGAGUGUAGGAUAAGUGGGAGCCGGAAAACGGCGACGGUGAAAUACCACUCUUUUAACUUAUUUUACUUCUUCCGUGAAUCGGAGGCCGGGGCCCUCGCCCCUUUUUGGACGCCAAGGCCGCCACGGCGGCCGAUCCGGGCGGAAACAUUGUCAGGUGGGGAGUUUGGCUGAAGGCGGCACAUCUUGUUAAUAAGAUAACGCAGGUGUCGCUAAGAUGAGCUCAAGCGAGAACAGAAAUCUCGUGUGGAAACAAAAGGGAAAAGCUCGUUUGAUUCUGAUUUCCAUACGAAUACGACCGUGAAAGCGUGGCUAUCGAUCCUUUAGACUUCGGUUUGCAGCUAGAGGUGUCAGAAAAGUUACCACAUAGGGAUAACUGGCUUUGUGGCAGCCAAGCGUUCAUAGCGACGUUGCUUUUUGAUCCUAUCGAUGUCGGCUCUUCCUAUCAUUGUGAAGCAGAAUUCAAUCACGCAAGUGUUGAUUGUUCACCCCACCAAAGGGAACGUGAGGCUGGGUUAGACGUCGGAGACAGGUUUAGUUUUCCCUACUGAUGACCGCGUCGCGAUGUAAUUCAACCUAUAGAGAGGAACCGUUGAUUUCGGCACAAUUGUCCAUCGCGCUGGUUGAAAAAGCCAGUGGCGCGAAGGCUAACCGUGCGCUGGAUUAUGACUGAACGCCUCUAAGUCAGAAUCCGGGCCAGAAGCGACGCCCGUGUCGGCGCCCGCUUGCCGACCCGCAGUAGGGGCCCUCCGGCCCAGAGGCACGUGCCGUUGGCCAAGCCCCGCGGCGGAUCGAGCCGCGCUGGCCGCCUGAAGUACUAUCCCACACGGGCGUCGGGGCAGAAUCCUUUGCAGACGACCUUAAAUACGCGACGGGGUAUUGUAAGUGGCCACGAGUGGCCUUGCUGCCAAACGAUCCACCUGAGAUUCAGCCCUUUGUCGGCUCCGAUUCGU